GUGAGUUUGAUCAUGGCUCAAAUUGAACGCUGGCGGCAGGCUUAACACAUGCAAGUCGAGCGGGGGAAGGUAGCUUGCUACCGGACCUAGCGGCGGACGGGUGAGUAAUGCUUAGGAAUCUGCCUAUUAGUGGGGGACAACAUCUCGAAAGGGAUGCUAAUACCGCAUACGUCCUACGGGAGAAAGCAGGGGAUCUUCGGACCUUGCGCUAAUAGAUGAGCCUAAGUCGGAUUAGCUAGUUGGUGGGGUAAAGGCCUACCAAGGCGACGAUCUGUAGCGGGUCUGAGAGGAUGAUCCGCCACACUGGGACUGAGACACGGCCCAGACUCCUACGGGAGGCAGCAGUGGGGAAUAUUGGACAAUGGGGGGAACCCUGAUCCAGCCAUGCCGCGUGUGCGAAGAAGGCCUUAUGGUUGUAAAGCGCCUUAAGCGAGGAGGAGGCU
rnacentral:rRNA from 1 species